rnacentral:tRNA from 1 species
GGUCGAGUAGCUCAGCUGGAUAGAGCAGCUGAUUUCUAAUCAGCCGGUCGUGGGUUCGAGUCCCGCCUCGAUCACCA